AACGAACGCUGGCGGCAUGCCUAACACAUGCCAGUCGAACGAGACCUUCGGGUCUAGUGGCGCACGGGUGCGUAACGCGUGGGAACCUGCCUUUAGGUUCGGAAUAACUCAGAGAAAUUUGAGCUAAUACCGGAUGAUGUCUUCGGACCAAAGAUUUAUCGCCUUUAGAUGGGCCCGCGUUGGAUUAGCUAGUUGGUGGGGUAAAGGCCUACCAAGGCGACGAUCCAUAGCUGGUCUGAGAGGAUGAUCAGCCACACUGGGACUGAGACACGGCCCAGACUCCUACGGGAGGCAGCAGUGGGGAAUAUUGGGCAAUGGGCGAAAGCCUGAUCCAGCAAUGCCGCGUGAGUGAUGAAGGCCUUAGGGUUGUAAAGCUCUUUUACCCGAGAUGAUAAUGACAGUAUCGGGAGAAUAAGCUCCGGCUAACUCCGUG
rnacentral:rRNA from 1 species